GAUGAACGCUAGCUACAGGCUUAACACAUGCAAGUCGAGGGGUAACGAGAGGAAAGCUUGCUUUCCUUGUCGACGACCGGCGCACGGGUGAGUAACGCGUAUCCAACCUGCCCCCAACUAAGGAAUAACCUUGCGAAAGUAAGACUAAUACCUUAUAAUUUCCUCAGAUGUCAUCUGACGAGGAAUAAAGAUUUAUCGGUUGUGGAUGGGGAUGCGUCUGAUUAGCGUGUUGGCGGGGUAACGGCCCACCAAGGCAACGAUCAGUAGGGGUUCUGAGAGGAAGGGCCCCCACAUUGGAACUGAGACACGGUCCAAACUCCUACGGGAGGCAGCAGUGAGGAAUAUUGGUCAAUGGGCGAAAGCUUGAACCAGCCAAGUAGCGUGCAGGAUGACGGCCCUAUGGGUUGUAAACUGCUUUUAUACAGGAAUAAAGUUAGCCACGUGUGGUUAUUUGUAGGUACUGUAUGAAUAAGGACCGGCUAAUUCCGUGCCAGCCGCCGCAGUAA
rnacentral:rRNA from 1 species